GACGAACGCUGGCGGCGCGUCUUAAGCAUGCAAGUCGGGCGGGAUCCAUAUGCUUGCAUAUGGUGAGAGCGGCGGACUGGCGAGUAACACGUGGGCGACGCGCCCUCCGGACGGGAAUAGCCUGUAGAAAUACAGGGUAAUGCCGGAUGCGAACGCACGGGCUGGAGCCGUGCGUGGAAAGCCCCCACGGGGGCGCCGGAGGAGCGGCCCGCGGCCCAUCAGCUUGUAGGCGGUGCAAGGGACCACCUAGGCUACGACGGGUACCCGGCCUCAGAGGGCGGACGGGCGCAUUGGGACUGAGAUACGGCCCAGACUCCUACGGGAGGCAGCAGCUAAGAAUAUUCCGCAAUGGGGGGAACCCUGACGGAGCGACGCCGCGUGGGCGAGGAAGGCCGGAAGGUGUAAAGCCCUUUUGCGCGCGAGGAAUGAGGGGAGGAGGGAAUGCCUUCCCGGUGACUGUAGCGCGCGAAUAAGCGCCGGCUAAUUACGUG
rnacentral:rRNA from 1 species